UAGGUGCCCUGCUGGUUAUGGAAUUUUGAGGUAUCUAAAUGGACGAUGGCAACCGUUUGGAAGAUAAUUUCACCAAAUCCAAAGUUACUUAUCUUCAACGACCAAAAUCCGAAGUUGCAUAGCAUCAAGGAUUCUCCUUUCUCCUUUGGUCUGCCUAGAUGGCCAUUUUUCUUUCUCCUUCAAGCGUACAAUCUGUCCCCACAUUUGUUUCUGAAGAUUGUUUCCACAUCAAGAUGGUCCUUUCUCCUUACCAAGCGUAGACGAUGAAUCCAACCCUCAUGGCCUGUCUUCAUUUUCGACGAAAGAGAAAAUAAUUAAACAAAAGAAAUGAUAUGUUCAACCAGAAAGGAAGAACCAGAAGAUGAAGAUUCUCAAACCACGAUUGAAUCAAGUGUAAAAAACCAUGGAGGCAAUCUUCAAGAAUUAAUCACCUAGGAUUAAACUUUUCAACCAUAUUUUACUAACCAUGGAACGUUGACUAGAAACAUGAAUUAAACCGGAAAAGGUGGGACUCAAAUCACUUGAUUGUAUAAAAGGAGCACCAAAAUCUAAAAUCAGUGUUUAAGCGUUAAAGAAAGCCGAACUGAAUAACUCUUCACAAAACAAUUUUUUUAAAAGAGAACCUGUCAAAUAUCUACAAUUCAUUUCUCAUACAGAUGAAAUUCAUUCAACAUAAUAAGAAACUCAAAACAGAAUCAUAAAAUUAUGAAUAUUUUUUAGAGGCUCUGAUUGUGCAUUUGUCAAACAAACGGGAUAAUAAAGAAAAACUAUGGUAGCAAUCACAGAAGAUCGUAACAGAAACAGAAUUUUCUACAGGAUGAUUAGUUUCACAGUAGCAAAGCAAAUAUUAAUAAAAUCAAGAUUAAUACCAAUCCGAAAAGGAAUUUGAAAUAUGGAAAUAGACAGUCUAAAAAUCCAAAGGCAGAAAGAAAAACAAAAAGGAUUGACAAAAAAAAGAUCAAUAUAAAUUUGAAAGCCAGAUGCUUUAACAUGAGAAAUAAACAUCCUAAUUCCUAAAAGUCUGCAUGCCAUUUUUCAACAAAAACUCAAUUUUUUUUUUGUCAAACAAAAAAAGAAAGAGAGAACAAUACCUUUGUUGCAAUAAUAAAGAAAGACUAACAAACAAACAAUACGAGACACUCGUUUACAACCUUUGAGUAAAGAAAAAAGAAAUAAGAUUCGAGUCGAGUCAAAUUAAAUAAAAAAAAAAAACUGCCCCACCACAGUUUUGUCCCUUCAAAAUGCUUGAUUUGUAUUUAACAUCAUCACAGCCGACAAGAACUCAAGAUUUAAGUAAAGCGUAAAUUUUCAAUUUUUUAUGAUAAUUUCAGAAAAACAAAAGAAAAAUUCAUCAGAUUUAAUUAAUUUAACUAAAUUCAAGAUUCAAUCAUUUAUAUUGCAAAAAAGUGAACUAAUCAUUCAGAAUUUGAAAUAAUUCGUAGCACCUAUUGUCAGAAAGAAAGAAAAUAGGAGGAAAAUGUGGGAUCAGAUUUUCUCAUCAUUUUCCAAUUAGUGUACAUAAUUAGAAAAUAAUUAUAGGGGGAGAAUAAUUCUCUUUUUAUUGUUUAUUUCUUUCCUUGUAUAAACUUGUACCUUAGCUAUAUUAAAACGUUGUAAAGCAGCAGAAUAGAACAAUCAAUACAAUUCCUCCAAAUUAUGUCUCAAAUAAUAUUGCUUAACAUGGUAUCAGAGCAAGUUCAAUGAUUCUAGGAUCAAACAGUUGCAAUUGCUCAUCAUUUACCAACUUACCAAUAGAAAUCCGGUCACCAUGUCCGAAGACGACAACUCCUCAUCAGCCACCAGUGUACCAACCCAGAAGACUCCGGCUACCAUGUCUGAAGACGGCAACUUGGAGAAACAGUAUGGCAUCAGCAACGAUGACCUGACAAUUCAAUUAGCAAAUCUCAUAAAAAAUGGCCUCAGUAACCAAAACCAAAAACAAACCCUUUCAGAUAAUUUAAUCAUCAGCUCAAAUUAAACAGCCAAAAUUAUGUGUUAUGGGCAUGCAUGAUUAAGGUUGCAAUUGAAUAUCUAAGGCCUUGUUGAGCCACCUCACUGGAAUUCCAGCGCCACCAUAGAUCGGCGAUGAGAAAUACGAGAAAUGGGAACAAGACGAUCUCAUCGUGUUUUCAUGGUUAAUUCAAAAUAUUGAACCCCAAUUGGCAAGCAAUCUGACCGAAUUUCCUACAGCAAAAGCAUUAUGGAAUGCUCUUGUUACAACGUACAGCAGUGGCAGGGACAAAUUACAAACUUUUGAUCUUCAUUCAAGGGAAAAUGGUAUAAAACAAAAUGGAGCCCCUUUAGAAGAUUUCUGAAUUACCAUGCAAGGAGUAUGGGGCAAGAUUGACCGCCGGGAACCAAAUCCAAUGACCUCAGAAGCAGACAUAGCCACAUACAACAGAAUACGUCAAGAACAAAAACUGUUCCAGUUCCUGAAUGCAAUCGAUCAUGAAUAUAAUCAAAUAAAAAGAGAAAUUUUAAGGCAAGAUUCGUUACCCUCACCGGAAGCCGCCUACGCCACCGUUAGGAAAAAGGCAGCCCGCCUCAACAUUUUAGGACCGGCUUCUGGAAUCUCGUCACAAUAGGGCAUAGGCAGCGGAUUGAUUGCAACCGGGACUGAAGCCAUGGGAAUGGCAACACAGGGACAGCGACGGUCAGGCUCCGCCGGCGAGCCAGGCAGAUCAUCAUUCCGUUCAGACAAGGCAAAACUCAAGUGUACUCACUGUGGGAUGAGUAAACACACGAAGGAGAAUUGUUUCCGGAUUGUGGGAUAUCCCGAUUGGUGGAACGAUGACAUAAAAGGGACGGACAAGCCACAGGAGGUAAAGUCGCCAUCACCGUGAGCAGCCCUAAGGCUACCAGCAGCGGUGACGGUGGCCAAGGAGGCGUCGGAGAUGGAGGCAGUGUUGGACGAGCUAUGGCUGCUAGGGCUGAAGAAAGUGGUAAUACAGGUUAUAAAGGUAAAGGGUUUGGGAAUUUCUUCCUAAGCCCUUCCAAUUUGGACAAAUUAUUUUCUACCCUAAACCUAUUACAAAUUGACCCAAAAAGAUCUUUGUCUAUUGCAAAUAUGGUCCAAAAUUUUGAUAACAGUAAGAGUGCAUCAUGGAUUUUUGAUUGUGCCGCCACUGACACCAUGACAUUUGAUGCCAACGAUAUUAAAAUACAGUCCAAACCCACAAAGACACAUGUAGGAGCAGCCAAUGGGGGAAUAGUUCCUGUAGAGGGAACCGGGUCUAUUGAAAUAUUACCCACACUAAAACUGUCAAACUGUCUUUAUGUCCCUUCACUUUCACAUAAAUUAUUGUCUAUUAGUCAUGUAACAAAGGAACUUAAUUGUAUUAUGCUAAUGACACCCACUUUCUGUAUACUGCAGGACAUCAAGACAGGAACGAUUAUUGGACGUGGCACUGAGCGCCAAGGACUGUACUACGUGGAUGAAGUUGUCCAACACGGUACUGUGAUGUUAGCACAUGGAACUGCGGAUCGAGAAGCUUGGCUUUGGCACCAAAGAUUAGGACAUCCAUCCACUGGUUAUUUACAUCUUUUAUUUCCUAAACUCUUUAAAUCCAAUAAAAUAUUACAUUGUGAGACUUGUGUUUUGGCGAAAAGCCACAGACAAACUUUCAGGCCAAAUAAUACUAGGGUUGAUUUACCUUUUUCAUUAGUCCAUUCUGAUGUGUGGGGUCUAGCACCUGUCAUGGGAGGGAAAGGUUUUCGUUAUUUCUCGAUAUUUGUGGAUGAUUGUACUCGCAUGACGUGGGUAUAUUUUUUGAAAAACAAGUCAGAGGUUGUUGAUAAAUUUAUACUAUUUUAUACCAUGAUCCAAACCCAAUUUACUAAGUCAAUUCAAAUUUUAAGAUCCGACAACGGGGGAGAAUUUGUCAACACAACCAUGAAACAAUUUUAACAACAAAAAGGAUUAGUACACCAAACUACUUGUCCUCAUACUCCUGAGCAAAAUGGUGUUGCCGAACGAAAAAAUAGGAUUCUCCUUGAAAUGACCCGAGCUCUUCUUAUUGAGUCUCGGGUCCCUAAAGUUUUUUGGCCUGAAGCUUUAGCCACUGCCACCUACCUUCCAAAUAGACUCCCAACCUAAAUCCUUGACCUUCAAACUCCAAUCCAAACCCUAGCCAAAUUUACCAAAAUUCUCCCGACCUUAACUCUUCAACCACGAAUUUUAGGUUGCUCUGUAUUUGUCCACAUUCCGAAAACUGAAAGAACUAAAUUUGACCCAUGUGCAAAAAAAUGUGUAUUUGUUGGGUACGGGGUUAAUCAAAAGGAGUACCGAUGCUAUAAUCCUAAAACUUAUCAUAUGUUCACCACAAUGAACUGUGAUUUCCUUGAAACCGAAUACUUUUAUACUACCCAAUCCAGUGGUCAGGGGGAGAAGGAAUUAUGGACACAUUGAGUUGGCUUCCAGAACCAGUGUUCCCACAGGUGAAAUUGGAUCUUCAGAAAGAGAACCCAUGAGUGACAGUAGUAGAACAAGAAGAAAACAAUAUUGUUAGGCCAACUUCUGAUACUUCCAUACAGUCUACGGAGCCUAGUGUCUCAGAAAAUACUAUUCUUAACCUGGUGUCUGAGGUAAGAGAAACUGAAGAUCCUAACUCUCCUGUUAUUUCCACUAAUCCUGGUGACUGUGAAACUGUAGCAGAACAGGUGGCAGAGCAGGAAGAACAAUAUGUAUUACCACCCAGAGCCAAUAGGGGAGUUCCACCUAACAGAUACUCUCCAGAAAAAGAGGCUCGGAGGUCCAGAUAUCCGGUAGCAAACAUAGCCAGAGGAAGUCUAUCCAGAGAAGCCAAAGCAUUCAUCUCAGCUCUGUAUGAGGAAAAGAUCCCGACCAUAGUGGAACAUGCCUUGACAUCAGAAAAAUGGACCAAUGCAAUGAAGGAGGAAAUGAAUGCUUUAAUCCAGAACCACACAUGGGAGAAAUGUGCCUUACCGACAGGAAAGAAACCAGUUGGGUGUCGCUGGGUCUUCAUGAUAAAGCAUAAGCCAGAUGGUUCCAUUGAAAGGUACAAGGCACGGUUAGUGGCAAAAGGAUACACCCAGACUUAUGGCAUUGAUUACUCAGAGACUUUUUUACCGGUAGCAAAAAUUGAUACUAUCAGGGUAUUGUUGUCACGCCCCGACUCUAAUCACCAGAGGAAUUAUCCGCUUUGGUGUAGUCCACGAACGCCCUACACCUCAAUGUAGUCCCCGCACACCCUACCCACACGGUUUUAUCCCGCAGGUGAAAUGGGAAACUUCCCAGGAGGUCACCCAUCCUGAGAUUUCCGUUAAGCGAGCACGCUUAACCCUGGAGUUCUUCCAACUCUCCAGCCAUUCCACCAAAAGACGCCUCUAAUGAUUAGUUUCCCCCUUUUCGAUAUAUGAUUCGAUUCAUUCCUGUGUCCCGCAUUCCACUACCCUAGCUAGCCUGCCAUCCUAGGAUCGCUUUGCCGGGUCGGGAUGUCACNNNNNNNNNNNNNNNNNNNNNNNNNNNNNNNNNNNNNNNNNNNNNNNNNUCUGAUACCAACUGUCAUGCCCGACUCUAAUCACCAGAGGAAUUGUCCGCUUUGGUGUAGUCCACGGACGCCCUACACCUCAGUGUAGUCCCCGCACACCCUACCCGCACGGUUUUGUCCCGCAGGUGAAAUGGGAAACUUCCCAGAAGGUCACCCAUCCUGAGAUUUCCGUUAAGCGAGCACGCUUAACCCUGGAGUUCUUCCAACUCUCCAGCCAUUCCACCAAAAGGCGCCUCUAAUGAUUAGUUUCCCCCUUUUCGAUAUAUGAUUCGAUUCAUUCCUGUGUCCCGCAUUCCACUACCCUAGCUAGCCUGCCAUCCUAGGAUCGCUUUGCCAGGUCGGGAUGUCACAAUUGUUCUCAGUAGCAGCAAACAAGGGAUGGCCACUUCACCAGUUUGAUGUGAAGAAUGCUUUUCUGCAUGGGGAUCUGAAAGAAGAAGUUUAUAUGGAGGCUCCACCAAGUUUCACAGAGGAAUUCCAGAAAGGAGAAGUGUGUCGGUUGAAGAAGUCACUUUAUGGACUUAAGCAGUCACCUAGAGCCUGGUUUGGUAAGUUUACAUGAGCAAUGAAGGGAUAUGGGUUCAAACAGAGCAAUUCCGAUCAUACUCUAUUCCUGAAGCGGAGAGGCAGACUUGUAAUGUGUUUGAUCAUUUAUGUUGAUGACAUGAUCAUUACAAGAGAUGACAUGUAAGAAAUGACCAAGCUAAGGGAAAACCUGUUCACAGAAUUUGAAAUGAAAGACCCAGGAAGGUUGAAGUAUUUUCUCGGAAUUGAGGUUUUGAGAUCAAAACAAGGGAUUUUUCUAUGUCAGAAGAAAUACAUUUUGGAUCUUUUGGCAGAGACGAGAAUGAUCGAUUGUAAACCGGCUGACACACCAAUGGUGGUGAAUCAUGGACUGAAGAUAGUGGAAGGAGCAGAACUAGCAGAUAAGGAGAGGUAUCAAAGGUUGGUUGGAAAAUUGAUAUAUCUCUCACAUACUCGGCCAGAUAUAGCUUAUGCAGUUGGAGUAGUGAGCCAGUUCAUGCAUCAACCUCAGAUAGACCAUAUGGAAGCCGUGUGGAGGAUUGUAAGGUAUCUAAAGGGGACAUAUGGACGUGGUGUUCUAUUCAAAGCACAUGGACACCUAGAAUACAGGGGUAUACUAACACCGACUGGGAGGCAAUCCAGUGGACCGCAGAUCUACUUCAGGAUAUUUUACUCUUGUGGGGGGGGUAACUUAGUCACAUGGAGGAGCAAAAAUCAAAAAGUUGUAGCUUUGUCCAGUGAAGAGGUUGAAUUUCAAGGAGUGGCACGAGGCUUGGCAGAAAUAUUCUGGUUACGAAAAUUGCUAACUGAAAUUGGGUUUCCACCAUCUGAGGCUUGCAAGAUAAUGUGCGAUAAUCAGGCAACAAUUAGUAUCUUAGAAAAUCCAGUACAACAUGAUCGGACAAAACACGUAGAAGUUGAUAGACACUUCAUAAAAGAGAAGUUAGAUGCAGGUAUUGUAGAACUAACUUUCGUACGCUCUGAAGAUCAACUAGCAGAUAUAUUAAUGAAGGCAGUGAACGGAAGGAUCUUCAAUGAAGUUUUGGGCAAGUUGAGUAUUGGCAACCCCACUACUCAACUUGAGGGGGAGUGUCAGAAAGAAAGGAAAUAUGAGGAAAAUGUGGGAUCAGAUUUUCUCAUCAUUUCCCAAUUAGUGUACAUAAUUAGAGAAUAAUCUUUUUAUUGUUUAUUUCUUUUCUUGUAUAAACUUGUACCUUAGCUAUAUUAAAACGUUUUAAAGCAGCAGAAUAGAACAAUCAAUACAAUUCCUCCAAAUUAUGUCUCAAAUAAUAUUGCUUAACACCUGCAUAGUAAUCGCAAAGCUUAAAACCAACAAAUGAAAAAAAAAGGGAAAAAGAAAAAGGAAGGUCCUCACCAAUUUCAAGCGAU
rnacentral:lncRNA from 1 species